rnacentral:lncRNA from 1 species
GGGAAGUGAAAUCUUGGCAGGAGCAAAAUUCGGUUUCAACAUCCUCCACCUAUUUUGUUUUCUAUUUUUUUUUGUGUUUGUGCUUUCAUGGUGGCAACCUGCCUUCCUUGCCCUGCCCCUGCUGUUUUCUGUGGCAGUAGAAGAAGGAUGCACGGAGUUCAUGGACGUGACCAUCCUGGUGUGCAGCUCAGCGGCCGUGUCGGCCCUCCCGCUCCUCGCCAUUUGUCUCUGCUAUUUGUCUUUUACACGUCACACCACUCAGGGCUGGAGCAAGGACUGUGAUGACUGUUGGAUGGACAAAGCCAGGUCCUUUGAAAUGUCUCAGCCAGGCACCAAGGACACCAUUCCCAGCUGAGAUCCAUGUGGGUGCCUCUCACUUGGCUAAGCAAGCCCAAGCCUUCCCCCAGCUUUAGGGGGUUCAGGGGUCUCAGUGUGGGUUCCUCUGUGAUCCUCAUAAUAAAUGUCCAUUAAAUUAACCUGAUUCUGCCUUUUUUAAUAAUAAAUCAGACCCAGGGGAGGCCAAAUAAAGGCACAUUUC